AAGUCGUAACAAGGUCUCCGUUGGUGAACCAGCGGAGGGAUCAUUACCGAGUUUACAACUCCCAAACCCCUGUGAACAUACCUUAAUGUUGCCUCGGCGGAUCAGCCCGCGCCCCGUAAAACGGGACGGCCCGCCAGAGGACCCAAACUCUAAUGUUUCUUAUUGUAACUUCUGAGUAAAACAAACAAAUAAAUCAAAACUUUCAACAACGGAUCUCUUGGUUCUGGCAUCGAUGAAGAACGCAGCAAAAUGCGAUAAGUAAUGUGAAUUGCAGAAUUCAGUGAAUCAUCGAAUCUUUGAACGCACAUUGCGCCCGCUGGUAUUCCGGCGGGCAUGCCUGUUCGAGCGUCAUUUCAACCCUCAAGCCCCCGGGUUUGGUGUUGGGGAUCGGCUCUGCCUUCUGGCGGUGCCGCCCCCGAAAUACAUUGGCGGUCUCGCUGCAGCCUCCAUUGCGUAGUAGCUAACACCUCGCAACUGGAACGCGGCGCGGCCAUGCCGUAAAACCCCAAACCUUCUGAAUGUUGACCUCGGAUCAGGUAGGAAUACCCGCUGAACUUAA
rnacentral:misc_RNA from 1 species